GAGUGAGGGCCUUCUGGCCCGACCUCCAACCCUUUGAAGUCCGACUCUGUUGCCUCGGGGGCGACCCGUCUAACGGGGCCCCCGGUGGACAUUACCUAAACUCUGCAUCCGUGCGUCUGAGUAACAACCGAAUAAGUUAAAACUUUCAACAACGGAUCUCUUGGUUCU
rnacentral:misc_RNA from 1 species